ACCCUGACAGUUGUAACUGAUGGACUAGGCUGGGCACUGCUGAUGAACCUCACAUUCCUGAGAGAAAAAUCAUCCAAAAGUAUUCUUCAACUUUCUAGAAGUCAUUAUGAGGGGCCCUGACUAACUGAGGAGACUCAUACAGAAACCCUUGUCCCCAUCACAGAUACCUGGUUACCGUUUUCCUUCAAGAUGGCCAUCCCUUGGGAGGAUUACCCUUGGGCCUCAGAGGAGAAAGAAAACCAAAAGACAUAAACAAUAAAUUGAAAAUUGAAGGUGAAAGUCAAGUCUAAAGAUUUAGAAAAUCUCAGAUGACGUUCUCCUGGAAUCACCUAGCCUGAGGAGUGCGUCCUUAUGAGGUCAAGGCUUUCAGAGUUAGCACUUCAGUGGUGAAUACAGAAGACAAAAUUAGUACAGAUCAAGUAACCUGGAAAAGAAAAAAGAGACAGCACUAGAUACAGAAGUAGACAAGAGGAGGAGAAAACUCAGGCCUUGGCAAAAGCCACAUUACCGAACGAGGAGCUUGGAGAUGCAAUAGCCAGAUCAUGGUGACUUGGACAUCCGUUGGACAAGAACAGGCCCUGGGGGAUGAACCCAAGAUGUGGAUGGGAGCUUGGCAAGGCCACAAGUAGAUUUCAGGAGAGUUCAGGGAGAAGAAGUUGUGGCGGCAUGAGCACGGCUUUGUGAACGACAGAGCUGGAUUUGAAUCCUGCCUGUAUUAUUCAC